GCAGCUACACAUGCAGCCGAGCGGUAGAGAUUCUUCGGAAUCUUGAGAGCGGCGCACGGGUGCGGAACACGUGUGCAACCUGCCUUUAUCUGGGGGAUAGCCUUUCGAAAGGGAGAUUAAUACCCCAUAAUAUAAUGAGUGGCAUCGCUUAUUAUUGAAAACUCCGGUGGAUAGAGAUGGGCACGCGCAAGAUUAGAUAGUUGGUGAGGUAACGGCUCACCAAGUCAAUGAUCUUUAGGGGGCCUGAGAGGGUGAUCCCCCACACUGGUACUGAGACACGGACCAGACUCCUACGGGAGGCAGCAGUGAGGAAUAUUGGACAAUGGGUGAGAGCCUGAUCCAGCCAUCCCGCGUGAAGGACGACGGCCCUAUGGGUUGUGAACUUCUUUUGUACAGGGAUAAACCUUUCCACGUGUGGAAAGCUGAAGGUACUGUACGAAUAAGCACCGGCUAACUCCGUGCCAGCAGCCGCGGUAAUACGGAGGGUGCAAGCGUUAUCCGGAUUUAUUGGGUUUAAAGGGUCCGUAGGCGGAUCUGUAAGUCAGUGGUGAAAUCUCAUAGCUUAACUAUGAAACUGCCAUUGAUACUGCAGGUCUUGAGUAAGGUAGAAGUAGCUGGAAUAAGUAGUGUAGCGGUGAAAUGCAUAGAUAUUACUUAGAACACCAAUUGCGAAGGCAGGUUACUAUGUCUUAACUGACGCUGAUGGACGAAAGCGUGGGGAGCGAACAGGAUUAGAUACCCUGGUAGUCCACGCUGUAACGAUGCUAACUCGUUUUUGGGUUUUCGGAUUCAGAGACUAAGCGAAAGUGAUAAGUUAGCCACCUGGGGAGUACGAACGCAAGUUUGAAACUCAAAGGAAUUGA
rnacentral:rRNA from 1 species